UACGGGGGGGGCAAGCGUUGUUCGGAAUUACUGGGCGUAAAGGGCUCGUAGGCGGCCAACUAAGUCGGAUGUGAAAUCCCCAGGCUUAACCUGGGAACUGCAUCCGAUACUGGAUGGCUUGAAUCCGGGAGAGGGAUGCGGAAUUCCAGGUGUAGCGGUGAAAUGCGUAGAUAUCUGGAGGAACACCGGUGGCGAAGGCGGCGAUCCUGGGACCGGCAUUGACGCCUGAGGAGCGAAAGCCAGGGGAGCG
rnacentral:rRNA from 1 species